UACGUAGGGCGCAAGCGUUGUCCGGAAUUAUUGGGCGUAAAGAGCUCGUAGGCGGCCUGUCACGUCCGCUGUGAAAUCCCGGGGCUCAACCCCGGGCCUGCAGUGGAUACGGGCUGGCUGGAGGCAGGCAGGGGAGAACGGAAUUCCUGGUGUAGCGGUGAAAUGCGCAGAUAUCAGGAGGAACACCGGUGGCGAAGGCGGUUCUCUGGGCCUGUUCUGACGCUGAGGAGCGAAAGCGUGGGGAGCGAACAGG
rnacentral:rRNA from 1 species